rnacentral:rRNA from 1 species
GAAUCUAAACCCUUCCCAGAGUAUCAAUUGGAGGGCAAGUCUGGUGCCAGCAGCCGCGGUAAUUCCAGCUCCAAUAGCGUAUAUUAAAGUUGUUGCAGUUAAGAAGCUCGUAGUUGAAUUUCUGCCUUGUCAUUAAUCUCGCUUCCGAGCGUUUUUUUAUUGGCUUGGCAUCAUCUGGAUUUGGUGCCUUCGGGUACUGUUUCCAGGGUUUACUUUGAGAAAACUAGAGUGUUUCAAACAGGCAUUUGCCUUGAAUACUACAGCAUGGAAUAAUGAAGUAGGACUUUGGUUCUAUUUUGUUGGUUAUUGAACCAGAGUAAUGGUUAAUAGGAGCAGUUGGGGGCAUUCGUAUUUAACUGUCAGAGGUGAAAUUCUUAGAUUUGUUAAAGACGAACUACUGCGAAAGCAUUUGCCAAGGAUGUUUUCAUUAAUCAAGAACGAAAGUUAGGGGAUCGAAGACGAUCAGAUACCGU